rnacentral:rRNA from 1 species
GAUGAACGCUGGCGGCGUGCCUAAUACAUGCAAGUCGAGCGAACCACUUCGGUGGUGAGUGGCGAACGGGUGAGUAACACGUAGGUGAUCUGCCCAUCAGACGGGGACAACGAUUGGAAACGAUCGCUAAUACCGGAUAGGACGAAAGUUUAAAGGUGCUUCUGGCACCGCUGAUGGAUGAGCCUGCGGCGCAUUAGCUAGUUGGUAGGGUAAAGGCCUACCAAGGCGACGAUGCGUAGCCGACCUGAGAGGGUGAACGGCCACACUGGGACGGAGACACGGACCAGACUCCUACGGGAGGCAGCAGUAGGGAGUCGUCGACAAUGGGCGAAAGCCUGACCGAGCAACGCCGCGUGAAUGAUGAAGGCCUUCGGGUUGUAAAAUUCUGUUAUAAGGGAAGAACGACUUUAGUAGGAAAUGGCUAGAGUGUGACGGUACCUUAUGAGAAAGCCACGGCUAACUACGUGCCAGCCGCCGCGGUAA